ensembl:miRNA mirlet7a-5 microRNA let7a-5
GUACGUGUUUUUGGUGUCUGGACAAGGUGAGGUAGUAGGUUGUAUAGUUUGGUGGGAGGGAUCAAACCCUGUUCAGCUGAUAACUAUACAGUCUAUUGCCUUCCUUGUGUCACCUAAGGUCUGC